UGCAGUCGAGCGAACAGAUGAGAAGCUUGCUUCUCUGAUGUUAGCGGCGGACGGGUGAGUAACACGUGGGUAACCUACCUAUAAGACUGGGAUAACUCCGGGAAACCGGGGCUAAUACCGGAUAAUAUUUUGAACCGCAUGGUUCAAUAGUGAAAGACGGUUUCGGCUGUCACUUAUAGAUGGACCCGCGCCGUAUUAGCUAGUUGGUAAGGUAAUGGCUUACCAAGGCGACGAUACGUAGCCGACCUGAGAGGGUGAUCGGCCACACUGGAACUGAGACACGGUCCAGACUCCUACGGGAGGCAGCAGUAGGGAAUCUUCCGCAAUGGGCGAAAGCCUGACGGAGCAACGCCGCGUGAGUGAUGAAGGUCUUCGGAUCGUAAAACUCUGUUGUUAGGGAAGAACAAAUUUGUUAGUAACUGAACAAGUCUUGACGGUACCUAACCAGAAAGCCACGGCUAACUACGUGCCAGCAGCCGCGGUAAUACGUAGGUGGCAAGCGUUAUCCGGAAUUAUUGGGCGUAAAGCGCGCGUAGGCGGUUUCUUAAGUCUGAUGUGAAAGCCCACGGCUCAACCGUGGAGGGUCAUUGGAAACUGGGAAACUUGAGUGCAGAAGAGGAGAGUGGAAUUCCAUGUGUAGCGGUGAAAUGCGCAGAGAUAUGGAGGAACACCAGUGGCGAAGGCGGCUCUCUGGUCUGUAACUGACGCUGAUGUGCGAAAGCGUGGGGAUCAAACAGGAUUAGAUACCCUGGUAGUCCACGCCGUAAACGAUGAGUGCUAAGUGUUAGGGGGUUUCCGCCCCUUAGUGCUGCAGCUAACGCAUUAAGCACUCCGCCUGGGGAGUACGACCGCAAGGUUGAAACUCAAAGGAAUUGACGGGGACCCGCACAAGCGGUGGAGCAUGUGGUUUAAUUCGAAGCAACGCGAAGAACCUUACCAAAUCUUGACAUCCUUUGACCGCUCUAGAGAUAGAGUCUUCCCCUUCGGGGGACAAAGUGACAGGUGGUGCAUGGUUGUCGUCAGCUCGUGUCGUGAGAUGUUGGGUUAAGUCCCGCAACGAGCGCAACCCUUAAGCUUAGUUGCCAUCAUUAAGUUGGGCACUCUAGGUUGACUGCCGGUGACAAACCGGAGGAAGGUGGGGAUGACGUCAAAUCAUCAUGCCCCUUAUGAUUUGGGCUACACACGUGCUACAAUGGAUAAUACAAAGGGCAGCGAAUCCGCGAGGCCAAGCAAAUCCCAUAAAAUUAUUCUCAGUUCGGAUUGUAGUCUGCAACUCGACUACAUGAAGCUGGAAUCGCUAGUAAUCGUAGAUCAGCAUGCUACGGUGAAUACGUUCCCGGGUCUUGUACACACCGCCCGUCACACCACGAGAGUUUGUAACACCCGAAGCCGGUGGAGUAAC
rnacentral:rRNA from 2 species